AAUUAGAACCCCCAAUUUAUUUAUUAAACUACAUGCCCUAACCCUCUAUUCCUCUUCUCCUGCACACUGUCUUUCUUCCUCGAGCGGCCGACAAUUUCAGAUCUCUCCUUCGUUUUCAUCCUUCAACGACGGGGAGAUGGGCAUCACCACGGCGACCGCGAUACGCUGCCAGCACCGUGACAGAGAGACGUUGCCCCAACCAUCUUUUGACUUCGAUGCCAGCACCAGCUCACGCCGUCGCUACCACCACCAGCUCACACCGUCGCUACCACAAAAUUCCGUUGUCGCUGUUGAAAAUCAUUAAAGAGGUUUUAAGUAUUAUUUUCAGGUUUUGUAAAGACCGUAAGAAAGCAGGGCUAUAUGUUGAUCGCCACAUAGAACCGUAUAUUGUGUAGAGAAAGGAUUUUUGGUUUGACCGAAAUAUGUUAUUGGAAUUAGCUUCAGGUUAGAUAGCGAGCCAUUCAAGAUUGAAAAUGAUCAUGCAACAAGAUCGCCCUGUCACGGCAACUAAGUAUAAUGAAAAUGAAGGAGAAAAUAAGGAUGAAGUUCUCUUUGUAAUGCUACUACAUAAACAUUUGCUGUAAUUUAAAUUUCAUGUUUGGAUGAUUUAACUUAAUUGUGAAUUUUAAUACAGUGGAUAUAAAUUCGGAGUUCAGUA